rnacentral:rRNA from 1 species
UACGUAGGGAGCAGGCGUUGUCCGGAAUCAUUGGGCGUAAAGCGCGCGUAGGUGGCUUCGUAAGUCCGUUGUGAAAGUCAAAGGCUCAACCUUUGAAAGCCGAUGGAUACUGCGGAGCUAGAGUACGGAAGAGGCGAGUGGAAUUCCUGGUGUAGCGGUGGAAUGCGCAGAUAUCAGGAGGAACACCGGUGGCGAAGGCGGGUCUCUGGGCAGUAACUGACGCUGAGGAGCGAAAGCGUGGGGAGCGAACAGG